rnacentral:rRNA from 1 species
GACGAACGCUGGCGGCGGGCUUAACACAUGCAAGUCGAACGGAAAGGCCCUUCUUUUGUGCGGUGCUCUAGUUGCCACCGGGUGAGUAACCCGUUAGUAACCUGCCCUUGUCUUUGGGAUAACUUCAUACAACUGGGGCUCAUACCGGAUAGGAGCUCCUGCUGCAUGGUGGGGGUUGGAAAGUUUCGGCGGUUGGGGAUGGACUCGCGUCUCAUCAGCUUGUUGGUGGGGUAGUGUCUUACCAAGGCUUUGCCGGGUAGCAGGCCUGCGAGGGUGACCGGCCACAUUGGGACGGAGAUACGGCCCAGACUACUACGGGAGGCAGCAGUGGAGAAUAUUGCACAAUGGGAGGAAGCCUGAUGCAGCAAAGCCGCGUGCGGGAUGAGGGGAAUCGGGUUGUAAACCGCUUUCGCCUGUGACGAAGAGUGAGUGACGGUAAUGGGUAAAGAAGCACCGGCUAACUACGUG